UAUCCUUGUAUUUUACUUUCCCUUUUCUUUCACUUGCAUGUAGAUCUAAUUACAGAUAAUUAAAGAAAAGUUCUCUCCAACUUCAUUCUUCUUUCUUUCUUUCCUCUAUUUUUCUAGGUUUCUUCUUUUUGUUUUCCUUUAGAUGAUGGUGAGAUGAAGAGAAGAUGAAGAGAGGAAGGAAGAGAAGAUAGACACACAUCGUUUUAAAAUGGUUCGGCAAAUACCUACAUCCAUUGUGCUUUGGAGCAAUGUUUUAUUUCUGUUCAGUUUCGUUGUGUAUGAAAUAUCAAAGUGAUACAAGGAACCCGAUUGUUUGAAGACACUUGAGGAACUUUGUUCGAGUGACUACCUUCGUCAACAUAUCAGCUGCAUUUUCAUUGGUAUGAACUUUGAGCACUUCCACUACCUGUUUUUCGAUUGUUCUCUGAUGAAGUGGAAUUUAAUAUCUAUGUGCUUUGUUCCACUGUGAUACUGUUGGUUCUUGGACAGAUGAAUGGUGCUUUUGUUGUCACAGUAGAGCUUCUUGCUAAUUGUUCGCCAGUUUAAUUAAUAGGUUUUGUUUUUUUUCCAUCUGUGAGUUACCUUCACUUUAAAAUACCCUUGAACUUUUAAAAUUAAAAAUUAGUUGUCAAAUUUCUUCUAAUUUUAAAAUUGGAUUUUGAAAUUUAAAAAUGUAAAAAAUUUAUUAAUUAUAUAAGAUCACGAUUCAAUACUUUUUUCAUUUGUCAGUUCAAUUAUUGCAAGUUUGAGGUGCAAUUUUAAAAGUGUUUCUAUUUUCAAAAAAGAGGGAAAGUUUCCGAGAAAGAGAUGAAGUGUCUGGCAAAACUUUUAGGAAACCCGCUAAUCAGACACUAUAAUUUAUUGAUAGGUUGAUAGAGUGAUUACUUACAUAAACCCUCUGUAAAUCGUUAUAUUCAUUUAAAUUAUCAUUUUUGUAAGUUUCUAGAAUAACUCUAAAUUAUAAAGUGGAAUCCAAGUUGGUAUAACCAAGUUGAAAAGUUUUGUUUGGUAGUGCCCUCAAAUAAUUCUAAUGAGAGAGAAAAAAAGUUAAAGGUUUCGUACAAAUUUGGAAGUAUAUAAUAUUAAUCCCCAUAAUGGGCAUGACAGAAGGGUCAAAAUUAAGCAGCCAGAAUAGUGUUUGGUGCAUGGGCAUUAUAAAAGCAUAACACAUCAAUGAAGUGAACAACAAACCAAAGAAAAAGAAAAAGUGAAAAAUGAAUCUCCAGUGAUGGCCUUUGUUUUAGUCUCAUUAACCUUCUUUUUUCUUAGCUUCCCAAUUCUCUCUACAUCUGCUGCCCAGCUUCACCCAUUGCCUUCUCUUUAUCACACAAGAAUUGUCCCUCUUCCGCAACCAUCACCGUCGUCACUUUUGCCAUCGUAUGAAUUUGAACUGCAAGUAAGGAGAAGGAGAAGGCGGGUACGUCUCCGCCGCCACCACCACCGCCGCCCAGGUUCCAGUGGCCAAGAAGGCAAACCCGUAGAUCACCUCCACCUCCUUUCUAACACACACUACGUACGACACUGUUUGCAAGCAUAUAUAUCAGAAAGGUAAAACUCGUUGUGAUAAAACUCGUUGGCUUUGUUAUCUUUUGUAACAAUUAGUUGGGGAUUGGAAUAAAAUGGCUGCUCAUAACCAAUUAUACUACAUUUCAUUUAAUUAGUUUAUCACCUUUAAGUUUAUUUUUUAGUAAAAUAUGUUGGAUAAUUAUGUAUUGAAAUUUGAUAGAAUAUUUUAUGUAUAUCUGUAUUAUGUAAAAGCUCAAUAAGCUCUUAAGUUUUGUAGUGUGUUUAUAGGAUCUUUUUCAACGUUAUUGUAAAGUUAAGCAAAACUUUAAUCAAUUAAGAGCGUCCGUUUCUUUUUCUU